AGCCUUAAAAGCUACUGAAAGCAAUUAA
rnacentral:tRNA from 1 species